rnacentral:rRNA from 1 species
UACGGAGGGUCCGAGCGUUAUCCGGAAUCACUGGGUUUAAAGGGUGCGUAGGCUGAUAACUAAGUCUAAGGUGAAAGUUUGUGGCUUAACCAUAAAAUUGCCUUGGAUACUGGAUAUCUUGAAUUGGGUUGAGGAUUGCGGAAUGUGACAUGUAGCGGUGAAAUGCAUAGAUAUGUCAUAGAACACCAAUUGCGAAGGCAGCGAUCUGGGCCUUGAUUGACGCUGAGGCACGAAAGCGUGGGGAGCGAACAGG